GACGAACGCUGGCGGCGUGCUUAACACAUGCAAGUCGAACGGAAAGGUCAUGCUCUUGUUGGUUGCUCGAGUGGCGAAAGCGUGAGAAAAACGUGAGUAACCUGCCCUUGACUUAGGGAUAACAUCAGGAAAAAGCGGCGCAUACCGGAUAGGAGCUCCUGCUGCGUGGUGGGGGUUGGAAAGUGUUGGCGGUUGGGGAUGGUCUCGCGGGUUAUCAGCUUGUUGGUGGGGUAGUGGUUUACCAAGGCUUUGACGGGUAGCCGGCCUGAGAGGGUGACCGGCCACAUUGGGCCUGAGAUACGGCCCAGACUCCUACGGGAGGCAGCAGGGGGGAAUAUUGCACAAUGGGCGGAAGCCUGAGGCAGCAACGCCGCGUGCGGGAUGACGGCCUUCGGGUUGUAAACCGCUUUCGCCUGUGACGAAGCGUGAGUGACGGUAAUGGGUAAAGAAGCACCGGCUAACUACGUG
rnacentral:rRNA from 1 species